ensembl:lncRNA
CCAAAUGUAACGAUUGUUUUGAUAUGUGGAAAAGAAGACUAUAUUCCUUCUUGAUUAAAAAAGCUGGACUCUUAAAAUGUUAUUCCAUUUCUUAUUGUGAUUUCUUAAGGCGAUAUGUAACAAAUCUUUUUCAAUUCAUCAAUUCAUGUUCAUGAUGUUUUUUUUUUACAGAAAAAUAAAAUGAUAUCACUUAACGCAUGAAAAUGAACCUGUUUUUAAUGAAUAACCAUCAUGACUCUUUACUUGUGUGUCUGUUCAUAGUGAAAGAGUGUGAACAGCAAAACCUAAAGUGAAUACAAUUUCAGAAAAAUCACAAGGCCUGACAGAGGACAAAAACUUUUUUAAUGUAAAUAAUUCAUGUGCAAGAGGAUUUUUUAAAGACUAAUAAAGUAUAACAGUUAAUGCAAGAUAAUUUCAAUUAAUUUCAAUUCCAGUUUUAUAACGGCAAAACAAUAAAAUUGUCUUAAGACGCUUUCCAGAGCUCAGGGCCUGAACCCUGAGAAUGAACAUGUUUGUACUGAACAACUACCACGGCGCUUUACACUUGGAAAUGGACGACGCUCCUUCUGUUCUAGGGUCUGUGCAUUCAGAGCUCCUUCUGUUCUAGGGUCUACUCUAGGGUCUAGGCAUUCAGAGCUCCUACUGUUCUAGGUUCUAGGCAUUCAGAGUGGAGUUUAAUCUUCCAGGGCUGAAUCCUGAGACUCUGACAUACAGUCUGUCUAAUGGAGGUCUUCAAGACAGCAACAUUACUGAUGACUGAAUCACCUCUUAUUGCAAGUCCAUAGAUACAAAUCUAAUUAUUAAGUGCACAUAAUUAUUGUGCAAUGUCUCAUUUUAUAACCACAUUAACUCUAUUAUAGAAGUAAUAGACAUAGUUCCUUACAUAUAAGAUUCAAAGUUUUGGAUGGAGGGCCCAAAAAGAAAAAGUUGGGCUUCAAACAAUGUCCAGCCCUGAUAUGCAACAAACAAAAAAUGAUUGGUCUCACCCAAAAAACUCCUCCUCUCUUGCAAAAAAAGGUAAAAAAAUCAAAGUAUCGUACAUUCCAAUGAUUCCCCCAAAUAGGAAAAACUGGAGGAUUUCCGUAACGAGCCUGUGGCCAGUUCACGGUGUACAUCCUCUCCAGGACAAGUGGGAACUAUAUGUGGUUUUAUGUCUCCUUCAC